rnacentral:rRNA from 1 species
AUUGAACGCUGGCGGCAUGCCUUACACAUGCAAGUCGAACGGUAACGCGGGGCAACCUGGCGACGAGUGGCGAACGGGUGAGUAAUGCAUCGGAACGUGCCCGGUAGUGGGGGAUAACUGCUCGAAAGAGCAGCUAAUACCGCAUACGACCUGAGGGUGAAAGGGGGGGAUCGCAAGACCUCUCGCUAUCGGAGCGGCCGAUGUCGGAUUAGCUAGUUGGUGGGGUAAAAGCCCACCAAGGCAACGAUCCGUAGCUGGUCUGAGAGGACGACCAGCCACACUGGGACUGAGACACGGCCCAGACUCCUACGGGAGGCAGCAGUGGGGAAUUUUGGACAAUGGACGCAAGUCUGAUCCAGCCAUGCCGCGUGCGGGAAGAAGGCCUUCGGGUUGUAAACCGCUUUUGUCAGGGAAGAAAUCUUCCGAGUUAAUACCUCGGGAGGAUGACGGUACCUGAAGAAUAAGCACCGGCUAACUACGUGCCAGCCGCCGCGGUAAUAC